rnacentral:rRNA from 1 species
CGCCUCUUGCUUAAUUAUAAGAGGUCCAGCCUGCCCAGUGACAAAGUUUAACGGCCGCGGUACCCUAACCGUGCGAAGGUAGCAUAAUCACUUGUUCUUUAAAUAGGGACUUGUAUCAACGGCAUCACGAGGGCUAUACUGUCUCCUUUCUCCAAUCAGUGAAACUGAUCUCCCCGUGAAGAAGCGGGGAUUAACCUAUAAGACGAGAAGACCCCAUGGAGCUUCAAGCCAAGAAGCAACUUUUUACUUCAUGACCUUAAAACCCUCAAGUUAUGCUUGCUGGCUUUAGGUUGGGGUGACCGCGGAGUACAAUGUAACCUCCACGAUGUAAAGGACCUCCCUUAUCCAAGAAUGACAAUUCAAAGAGCCAUAAAAAUACCACACAAUGAUCCGAAAUUCGAUCAACGGACCAAGUUACCCUGGGGAUAACAGCGCAAUCCAUUUCAAGAGCUCAUAUCGACAAAUGGGUUUACGACCUCGAUGUUGGAUCAGGGUAUCCCAGUGGUGCAGCCGCUACUAAAGGUUCGUUUGUUCAACGAUUAAAACCCU